GAAGAAGACUCACGACUUCAAUGGAGAAUUUAAAAAGGUCCACUAACAAAAUCAAAGUUGGCAACAGAGCUAUUCUGGAAACAGGACAAAUAGGUGCUUCCAUCCUGCAAGAUUCAGUAGCAUGAGCCUUUUCAAAGUGCGAACCAUACUUCCCUUUUUUAUGUCAGCUUGAUAGAGUGAAAGAUAAUGCAGCCAGAAGCAAGGAAGAUUUGUGUGGUAUGUCAAAUAGAAUGAACUGAACAUUGUCUCUACUAUCAACCAUCAUCGCGCACUAUUUUUUGGAUACAAGAGGGUCAUUUGUAUUCGUAGAGAGGCUUUAUCAUCCAGCCUAACAGGGAGGAGUAUUGAAUACUGAAACCGUCUUUACACUCAAAGAUGCAAAGUGCCAGUGAUAUUUCAAUGAAUAUGAUGGCUCAGAACCGAAUCUUGGAAUGCUACAAGGAAUGGAUAGGCUGCAUCAACAGUGCUUUUGGUUAUUCGGGCAAUUUGAGGUUUUUCUCUGAGGCGCCUGCCAAUUUGUUGCAUCAUGAAACAUGGAUCUGGAUUUAAGACUGAGGAAUGAUAAACACGAAACACAAGGAGCGACCAACAAGUUGCUUUUCUAUCUUAUUUAAUAAAAUGAUUUUAUCAUUUGUGGAUGAUUUUAGUGUGUUAGUAUUUUCUAUCAUGGUUUGGUUGUUUCAGGCUUAUGCUCUCAAAAGCAUGAUUGCCGAUAGGUCAACCAUAGUAUAACUAGCUUUGGAUCAUAAU